UACGUAGGUGACAAGCGUUGUUCGGAAUUACUGGGCGUAAAGGGCGCGUAGGCGGUUGGAUAAGUCAGCUGUGAAAACCACGGGCUUAACUCGUGGCCUGCAGUUGAGACUGUCUGGCUUGAGUGUGGGAGAGGAGAGUGGAAUUCCUGGUGUAGCGGUGAAAUGCGUAGAUAUCAGGAGGAACACCGGUGGCGAAGGCGGCUCUCUGGACCACAACUGACGCUGAGGCGCGAAAGCUAGGGGAGCAAACAGG
rnacentral:rRNA from 1 species